UGAGGAAUAUUGCUCAAUGGGGGAAACCCUGAAGCAGCAACGCCGCGUGGAGGAUGAAGGUUUUAGGAUUGUAAACUCCUUUUGUUAGAGAAGAUUAUGACGGUAUCUAACGAAUAAGCACCGGCUAACUCCGUGCCAGCAGCCGCGGUAAUACGGAGGGUGCAAGCGUUACUCGGAAUCACUGGGCGUAAAGAGUGCGUAGGCGGGGUAAUAAGUCAGAUGUGAAAUCCUGUAGCUUAACUACAGAACUGCAUUUGAAACUGUUACUCUGGAGUGUGGGAGAGGUAGGUGGAAUUCUUGGUGUAGGGGUAAAAUCCGUAGAGAUCAAGAGGAAUACUCAUUGCGAAGGCGACCUGCUGGAACAUUACUGACGCUGAUGCACGAAAGCGUGGGGAGCAAACAGG
rnacentral:rRNA from 1 species